rnacentral:rRNA from 1 species
AGAGUUUGAUCCUGGCUCAGAACGAACGCUGGGNNGGGAUAAGACAUGCAAGUCGGACGAGAUUUUUCGUUGUAGCAAUACGAUGGAAAGUCUAGUGGCGAACGGGUGCUUAACACGUGGGCAAUCUGUCUUAAAGUGGGGGAUAGCUCGGCGAAAGCCGAAUUAAUACCGCAUGUGAUUAGAGUGGACAUCCAUUCGAAAUUAAAGGUGGCGCAAGCUACCGCUUUUUGAGGAGCCCGCGGCCUAUCAGCUUGUUGGUGAGGUAACGGCUCACCAAGGCUUUGACGGGUAGCUGGUCUGAGAGGACGACCAGCCACACUGGGACUGAGACACGGCCCAGACACCUACGGGUGGCAGCAGUCGAGAAUUUUUCUCAAUGGGGGAAACCCUGAAGGAGCGACGCCGCGUGGAGGAUGAAGGUCUUCGGAUUGUAAACUCCUGUCAUUGGGGAACAAGUCGCUUACGUUACUGCGUGAGCGUUGAUAGUACCCGAAGAGGAAGAGACGGCUAACUCUGUGCCAGCAGCCGCGGUAAUACAGAGGUCUCAAGCGUUGUUCGGAUUCAUUGGGCGUAAAGGGUGCGUAGGCGGCGCGGUAAGUCGGGUGUGAAAUCUCGGAGCUUAACUCCGAAACUGCAUUCGANNCUCCGUGCUUGAGGACUGGAGAGGAGACUGGAAUUUACGGUGUAGCGGUGAAAUGCGUAGAUAUCGUAAGGAAGACCAGUGGCGAAGGCGGGUCUCUGGACAGUUCCUGACGCUGAGGCACGAAGGUCAGGGGAGCAAACGGGAUUAGAUACCCUAGUAGUCC